CUGCCCGCUUUGCAGACUAAAGCUGUCUGUUUACACACAGAGAAAGGAGCAGAGCCAGCUUCCCCACACUGCCCCACCAAUGUGCCUUAGCCUGUCUCAGAGAGAUGACCUCUAAGGGUAUGUCUACAUUCCAAUGUAAGCCUGGGCUCAG
rnacentral:sRNA from 1 species